UACCAGGUAAUGCUGGGCGACUCUGGUGAGACUGCCCGUUACGGGGAGGAAGGUGGGACGACGUCAAGUCAUCAUGGCCCUUACGCCUAGGGCUACACACGUACUACAAUGGCGCAUACAAAGGGCAGCGAUACCGCGAGGUGGAGCCAAUCCCAAAAAGUGCGUCCCAGUCCGGAUUGCAGUCUGCAACUCGACUGCAUGAAGUUGGAAUCGCUAGUAAUUCGAGAUCAGCAUGCUCGGGUGAAUGCGUUCCCGGGCCUU
rnacentral:rRNA from 1 species